GAUGAAGAACGCAGCGAAAUGCGAUACGUAAUGUGAAUUGCAGAAUUCAGUGAAUCAUCGAGUCUUUGAACGCACAUUGCGCCCUCUGGUAUUCCGGAGGGCAUGCCUGUCCGAGCGUCAUUGCUGCCCUCAAGCACGGCUUGUGUGUUGGGCUCCGUCCCCCGGUCCCGGGGGACGGGCCCGAAAGGCAGCGGCGGCACCGCGUCCGGUCCUCGAGCGUAUGGGGCUUUGUCACCCGCUCUGUAGGCCCGGCCGGCGCUUGCCGAUCAACCAAAUUUUUAUCCAGGUUGACCUCGGAUCAGGUAGGGAUACCCGCUGAACUUAAGCAUAUCAAUAAGCGGAGGA
rnacentral:misc_RNA from 1 species